AUUGAACGCUGGCGGCGUGCCUAACACAUGCAAGUCGAGCGAGAAAGUCUCUUCGGAGAUGAGUAGAGCGGCGCACGGGUGAGUAACGCGUGGAUAAUCUACCUGUUGGUACGGGAUAACAGUUGGAAACGACUGCUAAUACCGUAUAGUCUGGUAACGGUAAAGGGGGCCUCUUCUUGAAAGCUCUCGCCAGCAGAUGAGUCCGCGUUGCAUUAGCUAGACGGUGGGGUAACGGCCUACCGUGGCGACGAUGCAUAGCCGGUUUGAGAGGAUGAUCGGCCACACUGGGACUGGAACACGGCCCAGACUCCUACGGGAGGCAGCAGUGGGGAAUAUUGCGCAAUGGGCGAAAGCCUGACGCAGCGACGCCGCGUGGAGGAUGAAGGUUUUCGGAUCGUAAACUCCUGUCAGAAGGGAAGAACGGUUCAUGGUUUAAUAGAUCAUGUUCUUGACGGUACCUUCAGAGGAAGCACCGGCUAACUCCG
rnacentral:rRNA from 1 species